rnacentral:rRNA from 1 species
AGUGAACGCUGGCGGUAGGCCUAACACAUGCAAGUCGAACGGCAGCACAGUAAGAGCUUGCUCUUACGGGUGGCGAGUGGCGGACGGGUGAGGAAUACAUCGGAAUCUACUUUUUCGUGGGGGAUAACGUAGGGAAACUUACGCUAAUACCGCAUACGACCUACGGGUGAAAGCAGGGGAUCUUCGGACCUUGCGCGAUUGAAUGAGCCGAUGUCGGAUUAGCUAGUUGGCGGGGUAAAGGCCCACCAAGGCGACGAUCCGUAGCUGGUCUGAGAGGAUGAUCAGACACACUGGAACUGAGACACGGUACAGACUCCGACGGGAGGCAGCAGUGGGGAAUAUUGGACAAUGGGCGCAAGCCUGAUCCAGCCAUACCGCGUGGGUGAAGAAGGACUUCGGGUUGUAAAGCCAUUUUGUUGGGAAAGAAAAGCAGCAGGUUAAUACCCCGCUGUUCUGACGGUACCCAAAGAAUAAGCACCGGCUAACUUCGUG